rnacentral:misc_RNA from 1 species
GUAGGUGAACCUGCGGAAGGAUCAUUACCGUCGGUAGUUUACUACCGUUUGAGGGGAGCGGAAACUUCUCGGGACCUCCUGGGGACGAGUACCUCCUUUUCUUAACCCUUGACUUUUUGCGCACUCUAGUUUCCUCGGCAGGCUUGCCUGCCGGUUGGACAAUUCUAUAACCUCUUUUAAUUUUCAAUCAGCGUCUGAAUAAUUAUAAUAAUUACAACUUUCAACAACGGAUCUCUUGGUUCUG